ensembl:lncRNA
UCCAAAAAUUAGCCAUAAGGUUUACUGUAUAUCUUUUUAUGAGAGUAUAAACUUGGCCUAUAUGUCUAGUCAACCACUGCUCUUGAGUCCUUACUUUAAAUAGCACAGAAAUAAGUGUUUACGAGAAUGUAUACAUAUAUAUGUGUGUGUGUAUACACACACACACGCACACAUGCUGUUUGUUUGGCUAUAAUUCCUCUCAGUAUUUGUGGAGAGUCUUUGUGUACUCACACGGAGGCUGAGAUGGGUGCUGCCUCAAAGGAAGCUGCUGUCAGGGCCUCUUGCGCUUUUAAUUGUGUGUGUGUGUGUGUGUGUGUGUGUGUGUGUGUGCAGGCUUGUGCUUACUAGUGUGUGCCGAUGAAAACAGGGUCGCGGUGCUCCACCUCAAGGGCACUGUUAUUAAUGAGAUGAAUAAAAGACCAUGACAACAGCUUGAUAACACAGAGGAGAUAAAAACCACACGCAUGCACACACACGCACAGGGAAACAUCAUGUGGGAGCUGGAUAAGUUUCUCUUGCCAAAAAAAAUACAAAGAAUAAAACCAAAAAAAAAAAAGAAAGAAAAAAGAAAAACAACAUUAAUCUAUUUUUUAUGAUUUCUAUCCUCCAGAGACAGUUGAUAUAAACUCAAGGAAGGAAGGGAUGUAAAAGAAAAGGAAUGAAUAAAACAGCGUGUUUGGUAAUGUCUCCACCAGAAAACAAACAAGUGAGCAAGUAAGCAAUCCACCCUAAUUGGUCAAAGAGCUGUUGUCACUAAUGAGGUCUUAAUUAACACAGGAUUCACUUAAAACAUGUGUGGACCCAGCAACGCACACACACGCACGCACAAACAUGCUCACACGAGCAAACAUGUCUGCUCUGUGAUGUUUACAUUCAUUUAGAACAAGCAGAACACUUUGAUGUGAGAUCUCACGCAUUCACACAAUGAAAACAAACGCAUGCACGCACGCAUGCACACACACACACACACACAGACACACAUGCAUGCAGCCUGUCUGCUCACUGAGCUGGGGAGAUUGGGAUAAAUGCCAGCAGAUUUUAACCUGAGGUGAUAACAACAACUCCUAGUAGCGCUCUCUCAUUUUCACACACACAAACACAC